CCCCAACCGCCCCCCCUUUGUGUGUGUUUUCGUUCCAUAUUUUUGGGAGAUUUGGAAAAAUAGGUAAAAAAAUAUGACAUUUUGUCCCUACACACUGUGUUAUUUUCUUUUAAAAUAACCUUAAACUGACGUAAAUAAAUGAAUAAUAAAAUUAUUUAAAAUAAAAAAAAUUAUUUUUAAAAAGUUGAAAAAUAUAAACCAGAAAUACUGAUAUACUAGGUGAUAUCCCGUGCUCAUGCACGGAUUCAAACAUUUACAAGUUAAUAAAAUCAUUAUAAUUGAUUAACUUUUUAUUUCUAAUUAUCGAUACGUUUAAAUUAUUUUUAGUUUGUAUAUCAGAAAGACAAAUAUAACACUAUUUUAAACUACAUUAUUACGUUAUCUUAAUUAAAUAUAUAAUUUUUGAUAUGAUAAUUUGGAUUGGUUAAGUUAUUUUUGGUAUGUUGAGUUGUAUAACUUUUCAGUUGAAUUUUAAUUAUACUAAAUCAGAUUAUAUAAUUUAAUUUAGUUUCUAAGAUUUGUAAAUAUGUAUUUUUAAAUUGAUAUAUUUUGUUUUGGCUUAAAUUUAUGAGAAAAUUUGUAAAUGUUGAUCAGAUAUUGUAUAAGUGAAUCAAAUUUGAAAUCUUUUAAAAACAAUUGGAUCAUUAGAGUUUUAGAACGUAAUAGUAACCUAACUAAUUUUAUCAAAUACCACAUUCAUGAUGAAAUUGAAUUUGAGAUAAUUAAUUGUUUAUUUUUAUAGAUAUUGAAACAUUCACAUAGUAUGAGGCUUGAGAAUCUGUAAUUAUGAAAAGAAAAAUUGUAUGAAAUUGUGUGAGAAUUUGUUCAAAAUAAGAGAUUGAAUAAUUAUCCAAAAAGUAAUAUUAUUUUAGAAAAUUUAUAAUUAAGAAAAAAUAAUUUUCUUUAGUGUAUUAAAAGUAAAUACUGAUUUGGUAACUAAAUUGACUUUUUUUUAUGAAAAAGAGUUAUUAUGUUUAAAAUGAAAAAUAUUUAACUAACAUUAUUAACAAUCGUAGAAAAACUUUAUUAAACAAAAAGUAUCAAGAAAGUUUUAUGAAAGUGAGAUUUAUAUAAAUGGAAACUACUUUUUUAAAAAUCACAUGUUUUAAAUAUCAAAAAUCACUAUAUCACUAUAUUUUUGUUUUAAGAUAUUAUUUCUGAUACUAAAUUCCUUUAUGAUAUUGAUAUGAUUUUAUAAAAAGAAAUAUUACGAAAAAAGAAAAUAUAAAUAGAUAUAUUAGUAAUGUAAAUUAGUAAAUAGUUUAUGAAAUUAGGAUUUAUAUAAAAGGAAAUUUCUUAUUGUCAAAUUACAUGUUUUAAAUAUAAUAAACUGCUAUGUUUUUUACUUUUAAGAUAUUUCCUUUUUGAUACUAAAUUUAUUUAUGAUAUUGAUAUGACUAUAUAUAUGUACAUACAUAUAUAUUAAAAACGAAAAUAAAAAUAGUUUAUAAAUAUUUUUUUAAAAUAUAGAUAUUUUCCAUUUUUACAUUAGAAAAAAAUUACUAAUAAAAACUAAAAUAUAAAUUUUGAUACUGACAAUUACAAAAUAAUAUUAAUUUAUUAAGGUUAACAAUGUAAUAAACCAUCAUGAGAAUUAACGUGAGCGCGAUACAUAGGAAAAUGACUUCUCAAUUAUUUUUAUAGAGAUAUCAAGACGUUUAGGAACUCCAUUAAGUUUGGGGAUGUAUGUGUUGAAAUCGUGGUUUAAUUUCUAAUUGGAUUUUAUUCAGGUUAAAUUUCAGUAUAUAAUUGGUAACAUAUUGGUAUUAAACGACAUUUAUGUGUAAUAUGGAGUCGAACUUUUAUCCCACGACGGUAAAAGUUUAGAACUUUAAAAUGUGUUUAAAUAAAGAGUUAAAUGGUAACAUGAUAUACACAGACAGUUGAAGAGCGGUUGAAGGUGAUUGGUGUAAAAAUAUUCUAAAACGAACCCCCAAGAUUUUUUGAAUGUCCAACUCUAGUUGUUGGUUAUCGUUUUAAUUUGAUUUGAAUGUCCAACUCUAGUUGUUGGUUAUCGUUUUAAUUUGAUUUCAUCGAUUUACAUCAAACUUUAAAUCCUAUUUAUGUUUAGGUCUAAUUCUAAUUUGAAUUCUAACUGCAACUAGUUUUGUGUUCUAUAAAUUUUAUUGAUAUCAAAGUUUCACAGAAUUAUUAUUUACAAUACUAUGAAAGACUGCAGCAACUAUGAUUAUGAGAUUCAAAGUAUUAUUUCUUCUUAUUAAUUUUGAAUAAUUUUUCAUCUUAAAGUUUUGGUGGAGGACCAGGAGGAGGCUUAUAUUCUUUACAAGGAAAGUCGCAAAUACAAGCACCACCGUCAUAGCGGUAAUCACAGUGAGCCUCUGCACCUUUUCCAUAAGCACUGCAUUUGACUGCACAUAUGCGGCAAUCGCCAAGACUUGCCUGACAUCCCAUACUAUCAUCAACUAUAAUAAAUAAAACAACAUUUUAUGUUUAAAUAAUUAAAAACCUAAGAUUUAGGAGAUAUCAACACAGUAAAAUACAAUAUAUAUAUAAGGCGAGCAUCUUUGAAUAUUGCUUUUUCUCAACAAACAAAAAAGAAUCUUUGAAUAUUGCUAUGAGAAAAGGGUGAAUUGGUGGAAUCACCAUUAUGGAAAAAAAAGAGCAAAUAACCAAAACAAAAGAUUGUCAGAGGUGAGAAGAUAAGUAUGCAUAAGUGUGAACGUUUCUCUUUUUCACAGUGCAUCAGUAUGUGAUAAAAGUAGCAAGGUCCACAGUAACAGAUGUAAAGUGAAGUCUCAUAUGUUCCAGAUGUGUAUGAUAUUCUAUUUGCAUAGUCCGUAAUAGUAUGACAUGCCAACAACAUUACUUAAAUUCUAGGGUUCACACAUUAUGGUGUACAAUAUAGAAUAAAUGGAAUGACAAAAUAUUAACUACAUCAUGAAGAACUUGAUUGCAGAAACAUUCACAUUGCUAAAAUCUAAACUCAUAUUUGGAGAGUUAUUAGGCUGGACAAAGAAUGAAAAUUAUACUAUACUAUAUGUGUUUGACAAAAUAGUAUAGCCUAAUUCAACCGUUUUACUAACUUAAUUUUCUUAUUUACUGCACUAGUCAACCCAAACAAAAUGAAAAUUUUCAACUCAUAAAACGCAAUAAAGACUAAAACAUAGUAUAAUCUCUAGUUACAAAUUGCUCAAGUUAACUCAAGCAAAAUAAAUAAAAAGACGGGAGAGAGAGAGAGAGAGAGAGAGAGAGAGAGAGAGAGAGAGAGAGAGAGAGAGAGAGAGAGAGAGAGAGAGAGAGAGAGAGAGAGAGAGAGAGAGAGAGAUGAAAUGUUACAUUUCUUUUCUAUGUUUUCUAAAUAGAAUAGCAUACAAUUGUAUAUUAUUUCAUUUGAAGAUGAAACUAAAGAUAUGAGAUAAAGAGAGAGAGGGAGCAAGAGAUAAAGAGAGAGAUAGGGGUAAACAUAAGAAAGAAAGAAAUAGAUGGGAUAAAGAGAGUGAAAGAAAGAAAUUUAGUAAAGAGAGAGCAAAAAAGAUGUAGAGAGAGAGAGAGAGUUGUAAUGUUGCAUUUUUAUUCUAUGAUUUCUAAAUAGAAUGAAAUACUAUAUAAUAUUGUCUCAUUAUGAACAAGGGAAGAGAAAAAGAGAGGGAGGGAAAGAGGAAGAAAAAAAUGAGAGAAAAAGAGAGAGAUUGUAAAUAUGUGCUAUCAUAUACAUAUAAUAUAGAAUAGAAAGAUAUAUUUGUCUAAAUAACAAUUUAUAUGUUUUGAAAGAAAUUUAUAUCCGUUUGAGAAAAUUUAAAAUACAAUAUAUGUAAAAAAAUGUAUGAUUUAUUAUGAUAUUAUUAUUGGUUAAGUUGUAUUAAAAAAUAAAAUAUAGAUCAAAUAAAAUGAGAGAAAAAAGAAAGAAAAGAGAAAAAAGAAAGAAAAAAGAAUCAAAGGCUGAAAUUGUUUAAGGGUAGAUAUAAUAAUAUUAUAUAAACGUGUAUUGUAUAUUCUAACCAUAGAGUUCAUAUGGUUAUUUGUUGAAUUUUUUUUUGAUGGUUAUACAUGCUAAUUUCCCCUGAGAAAACUAUAAAAGAUUAUGUAUAUCUUUUCUUAAGAGAUUAUGUAUAUAAAAAAACUAGAUUAUGUAUAUAAACAAACUGACGUUGAAUACACUUUUUGAGGAAAAGUUAAUAGAAACGUAUACCUAAAGCAAACAUAACAAGGAAGACGAUGAGGAGAACAACUGAAAAUUUUGCUUGAGCCAUAUUUAUCUAUUCGUAAUCCAGAUUAAGAUGCUUUUAUUGAAUAUAUUGAAAGACUGUAAGUUUUGGGAGACAGUAAAGAGAGAUUUAUAGGAUGAUGAGGCGACCAUAAUUAUUACUAUAUUUUUGAAAAAUUGACUGUAAUUACGAUAAUAAUAUAUAAAUAUGGAAUAUUAAUUAUGUCAUAUGAGUAAAAAAGAUUCUUUUUCAACAAUUAUUUUAAAUUUUAACAUAUUUACAUUUGACUAGUUUAUCACCAAUUUAAUUUCUCGUUGACCAUAGAUCUACUUAACAAUAACAUAUUAUUUUUACCUUUUAAAAUUUUUAUUCUAUUUGACCGAAGAAUUACUUAAUUUAAUUAUUAUUUAUUUAAUUUUCACAGAGUACUAGUGUUUAGCAGAUUAUUUUCUUUUAACUAUGUACUAGAGCUUGAUUUGCGUCGCUAAUGUUUGUUUUAACUUAUAUAUAUAUAUAUAUAUAUAUAUUGAUAUUAUUUAAAAUAUUUAAUGAUUAAUAUGUUUUUAAUAUGUUUCUUUAAAAUAUUUAAUGAUUAAGAUGUUUUUAAUAUGUUUCAUAUAUUUAAAUUUUUAUAUGACCUUUAAAGAGAAAAUAAAUAUCUUACAUACAAUAAUUUAAUUUAUUAUUAUAAAUUAUAUAAAUCUACUAUAUAUUUAUUUAAUUAUAUUUGUAUUUGAUUAUUAUAAAAAUGAAUAAAUGUAUAAAAGAAGACAUGAACAUUAUUUUGUAUUUUUUGUUAUUAUUGUUAUGUGUAUGAUCAAAAUAGACUAUUUAAAAAACAUAUAACAUAAUUUUAAUAUGUUAGAUUUGAAGUUUGAUUAUUAGAACAUAAUGUUAUACAUAUAAAUAUAUAUAUAUAUAUAUAUAUAUUGAAAUUAAGCUUUGCAUAAAUAUACAAUAUAAUAUUCCGGUCUAAUAACUUUUAUACAAUCAUCAUAAAGUAAAAUUUCUGUAUAAAUUUUUGGUAAACCAAUUGAAAUAAAUUAAUAACUCACAUUUCACAAUAAAAAGAAAAUUUGAGAUAUAUAUUAAUAAAAAUAAACUAAUAUAAUUACAUUUUAACUUUUUAUAUUAGCUUAUAUAUCAUAUAUAUAUUUAGUAAAAUUAAUGUAAAUGUACAUUAAAAAUAAAAAAUAAGUAUAUAUUAAUCAACUUUUUUGUUGAUGGUUAAAUUUUUAAAUUUUUAAAAUUUUAUUAGCAUCUAUUGAGAGAGAGUGUGAUGUGAUGACCAGAUCCAGUACAUUUUAACUUUUUACAUUAGCUUAUAUAUCAUAUAUAUAUUUAGUAAAAUAACGAUAAUUUGGUUAAUAACACAUGAGGCUAAAGUUAGUUUAUGAUAAUGCUUCUCAGAUAAUAAAAAAGGAGAUGUAUAUUUGGUUAUCUCUAGUUGGUAUAUAAAUAAUCUAAAAUAAACUCUCAAAGAUUUUUUAAAUGUCCCACUCUAGUCGUUGGAGUACAAAUUUUAAUCGUUUUAAUUUGAUUUCAUCAAUUUGCAUCAAACUUUAAAUUCUAUUUAUGUUUCGCUCAAAUUUUAAUUUAAAAAAUCUAACUGCAACUAAUUUUGUGUUCUAUAAAUUUUAUUGAUAUCAAAGGUUCACAGAAUUAUUAUUUAAUACUAUGAAAGACUGCAGCAUUUAUGAUUAUGAUAUUCAAAGUAUUAUUUUAUCUUUUUAAUUUUAAAUAUUUUUUUUAUUUUAAAGUUUAGGUGGCGGUUUACAAGGAUAGUCGCAAACACAAAUACCACCGAUACAGUGAGCCUCUGCAUGUCUUCCGUAAUAACUGCAUUUUAUUCCGCAUAUACGGCAAUCACCAAGACUCGCCUCACAUCCCAUAUUAUCCUCCACUACAAUAAAUAAAACAACAUUUUAUGUUUAAAUAAUGAAAAACUAAGAUUUAGGAGAUAUCAACACUGUAAAAUUACAAUAUAUAUAUAUAUAUAUAUAUACCAAUGAAUAAUGCCAAAAC